GAUGAACGCUGGCGGCGUGCUUAACACAUGCAAGUCGAACGUGAGAGGUAGCAAUAUCUUGAAAGUGGCGCACGGGUGAGUAACACGUAGGUAACCUGCCUCGGAGUGGGGGAUAACAGUUAGAAAUGACUGCUAAUACCGCAUGAAUCCAUUAAGAUGGGAAUGUUGAUGGAGAAAACUCUGGUGCUUCGAGAGGGGCCUGCGGUCGAUUAGCUAGUUGGCGGGUAACGGCCCACCAAGGCGACGAUCGAUAGCUGGUCUGAGAGGACGAUCAGCCACACGGGAACUGAGACACGGUCCCGACUCCUACGGGGGGCAGCAGUGAGGAAUAUUGGGCAAUGGGCGGAAGCCUGACCCAGCAACGCCGCGUGGAGGAAUGAAGGCCUUCGGGUUGUAACUCCUUUUGCAGGGGAAGAGGAAGGACGGUACCUGCGAAUAAGUCACGGCUAACUACGUGCCAGCAGCCG
rnacentral:rRNA from 1 species